UCUCUGUUCGUAUAGUGGUUAGUAUGUGAGCUUGUCAUCUGGACUCUUCAAGUGUCCUAGACAUCGCUCGAGACCGGGGUUCAAUUCCCCGACAGAGAG